UCCUAAGUAUUAUAGUUACUUUUGGCUAACAGUACAAGGAGACUUCUUUCAUUCUAACCAGUAUACUUACAUUGUUGAGGCCUUUGUGAUGCUCCUUAGUCUCUUCUGUCUGAAUUCACUUUGAACAAAAUGUGCCAGCAAUCACUGAAACAAAUGUAUAUGGUGAAGAGUUAGGUGAGGGUGGUGGGGUUUGGGGGGCAGGGGGGUGAUCCUCAUUUAAAUUAUGCAUGUAUGGGUGAAGGCUGGGAAGGGAAAGGAUUAUUUUAAUGCUCUUCAAUACUUUAAUUAUAUGACAGUUGUAGUGUAGAAAUGCAAAAGUACUCUUAGGUUUUCCUUCAGGUUUUCAAAAGAACUUUCCCCAUUAGUAAACUACUUCUGCAAAUUGCUAUUGCAUUUCCCAGCUAACCAUUUAAAAGACUGUAAAUGCCGUGUGCAUUACUUCGCUCCAGAGGAAAGAGGUCAGACUGAAUUGCAGUGGUAUUUAAACAUAAAAUACAGUGAAAAUAAAUCAAAGUAGAACAUUUGAAGAUAAAUUUAGCACAUUCAUAUAGGAUAAGUAAAGACAAAUAUGUUCAUAUCUUCAUAGCCCAUCACUGUAAAAACUGAAAGUGCUGAUUUUUUACAAUAAAUGCAGAAGUAAGUGGACAUUAAUGUAUUUCUAUCUCUGUUUGCCACAGAGCAUUUUCCUUUAGCAAGCAGCUUUGUUUUCAAAGCUAAAAUACUUUUUAUGAAGGCGUGUAGAUUACACAUUCCUCACUGAGUAAAUAAUCACAUUUAAUUAACAAACUCAGUGCAUAUCCUAUAUAUUCCUAAAUUCUCAGUAAGUAACUCCCUGGACCCUCAGAGAUAGAUAUACACAUAAAUGUUAAUUUGGGCAUAUCCACCCACCUACGUAUAUGCAUUCGAGAAACAUAGAAGUUGAUAUAUCUCUUCUUAAAAAAGAAUUUGAAUACAGUCCAUCAUCUGAAUUGGGUUCAUCUUUGAUUGUAGAGGCGGCUGACAUGGUCAACAUAUUUAUCAAAGAAACCCCCUGGCUUUUGAAGAAUUGUACUUUAUACAUCUGGAUCUGCACAUCCAGGCAAAGGUCAGAAAUAUCCGUUUAUUCUUUUAACCACACGGAUGUCUCUAUUUUUGGAAGAGCAAGGAAAUAUAUAAAUGCCUGGGUUGUAUUUGUGCUGUAGUUGCAAACACCGAGCAGUUAAGAAGAUUUUGCCGAAUUUUGCAAAGCAGCCAACAAACCGCCUUGGGAUCGUGGUAAUGCGACUGGGAAGACCUUUGCUCUCAUUUGGCAAUAUUUUGGAUAUCCUUGAAAAUGACACCAAAAUAUGCCUUAAUUUGACUAAGAAGAGGUUAAACAAUAUUGGUAUUCAUCCAAAGUGAUUUUUUUUUUUAAAGCAGAUGCUUGGCUUUCAUGGAAAAAAUGGGAGUUGUGGAAGAUUCAUUUAAACUACCAACCAAAAGCAUCCUAGACCACUGAAAUAGUCUGCAUCGUACAUCAGCACUUUCUUUUCAUCUUUAUUACGUAAAACCUCUGGAAGCACCUUGGGCGGUUUACAUUUUCUUUUCUUUGCUACAGAAGCAGUCCCUUCCAUGGAAUUCUGACCUGUGGUGAACAGGACCCUGGCAAAGGCUCUGCUGGGGACUCUAGGAAGAUCCCGCCUCCGAUCCAGCCUGGUUAAUUGUGAAAAGUGUACACAUUUCUGGCUUAUCUAUGCUUUGUUAUGGGUCUGACGUGAAACUACCUCCUCCCCAGCCCACCCCCCAGCAGAGCACCAAAAUCCAGUUGAAUUGUUACAGUGUUUCGGAGCUGGAGCCUUGAACUGCUUCCUUGGUCAAAUAACUUUGUUUCUGUGUAAAAAGGCAUUUCAGGGGUGGAAAAAAAAGGAAAAUCGAGAGAAAUUCAAAACGUAAGUCUGUACUGGGGUGGUUCACCGCGCGGAUUUAACUUUGGAGUUCCCAGUCAGGCUCCUUCCCCACUCCCAAAAGGGAAAUACCAAGCUAUUCUGCACGUUUACGCUUAAGCUUCAUUUUCCAAAGGAAAAGGGGGAGGGGUGUAUCUAUUUAGGCUUGAUAAUGUCUUAAAAAUGCUUUUCUUUGAGAUGAUAAUAGCUAUAGCGGUAAAAUGCAAAUAAAGCAAAAAAUAGGCAAUAUUCCUUUAAAGGCGAAUAUACAGGUUUUUUUUUUUUUUUUUUUUUUUUUUUUUUAAAGCGUACACACACUGCUUCUGAUGAAGUCUGUGAGUCAGGCUGUUUCUGAGCUUCGAUAGUUUAAUGGAAAGAUUUAUAUACCGACUGUAUUAUUUACUUUGGGAGGGGAGGUGGCAGUAUAAGGGUAUGCUAAUUAGUGGGAGAUUUUGGGGGGAAGGGGUGGAAUAUCAAUUUUUAUUGCAUCACCUGUCAGGAGUGUCCAAUCAGCGCUGGCUUUAGGGGAAUUAAUUGAUGAAGGUGUCUCCGGACGAGCUCACUUCACUCUGUCAUUUUAUUUGUAGCUAAAGCAGCGGCGGGAAUAGCAGCUGCAUUUCUUUUCUCUUUCUCCCUUCACAUUCCAUUAUCAUAGUGCUCCAAUGGAGAAGGAAGGAAUAGAGGGGCCCAGGUACUGAUCUGCAUCGGGGACUUAGACCAACACACUGGCAGAUCAGAAACCGGAUGGUUUUUUCCCUCUUUUUUAAAAAAACGAAAACCAAAAAAAAAGCAAGAAUCAAGUCAGUGUAAUUUCAUGUUUUUUUUUCCCCAAUAAUUUCGCCAAGAGUUUGGCACUCCCUUCGCCGGGAAUAACAGUCUUUGUUAUUUUAUUAGCAGGAUGCCUUGAGACACACGCAGCAUCUGGUGGAGGAUUACCAUACAUACAUGUGUAUGUAUGCGUCACGUAUAUAUUUACUGCAAAUGGUG
rnacentral:lncRNA from 9 species